ensembl:lncRNA
UAUUGAAAUCGAAUUUUAUUUUUGGAAAAAUGACAUUACACACAUCUUGCAAAUGUACACAGAAAUGAGCAUGAGAUGAAGAACAGAGCUUGAGAGCCAAAAUGAUUGCAAGAGCAGCUCUGUGGCUGCCCAGUACCGAACGCUGUGAAUCUGCAGCAUUCACAGUUCACAACACGUUUCACACAUGGAGAACUUCUCUAAGCUUUGAAGUCCUCUGACCAAAGAAAGCCCUCAUCAAAUUGUGGAGGGAGGAAGAGGGAUAUUAACAGGCACAGGAGAUGAAAAGGGUCUGCUCCAGCUGGUUUACAUGGGCCUCACCAAACCUACCAGUCCAAGUGGGAACAGCAAACCAUAGAGGAGUAUGCCUUCUUGGAACACUGCUUUUGCAUCUCAGCCUAAGAGCAGGCUGGGAAUUGCCUGGGAAACUGACAGCAGUGCACAUAAACCCAUGUCCUUGUCUUUUCUCACUGUAACUAUUCUAAAGGGGCAGCUAAAAAUCCCUAAAUAUCUAUUGUCUUUCUCUUUUUCUAAAAAAUAAUUAUUGGUCGUUGGUCAAGCAUAACCUUCUGAGAGCCUCUGAAUAUCUCAACACUGCUGCAAGGAUAAGUGUUGCCCACUGUGUUUCGAUUAUGGGUGAUUCUGUGAAUUAUUCAAUUUGCAAUGUCAUCAAAUUGCCAAAGAGGCUCCCAAUUUGCCACUGAUUUUUAUUCAAAGGUGAGCUGAGUCUUUGAUCACAAUGCCAUUCCUUGAGAAAUGGUCAAUAACUGCUGAGAGACCAUUGAGAAAUGUCUUUCUUUCCUCCCCCCUUCUGGUUUGUUUGUUCUUUGCUGACUUUACUUGGCAAAAAUUAUUGGGCCUUAAAUCAGUUAUUUACAACCAUAAGACAUCUGGGAGCAGGGGGAGGGAGAAGGCAAGGGAGGGAAGAGGGACCACAAGGAAGAAUAUAUUCUUUUCAGAGGUUAAAAUGAGUUAUUUAAGAAAUGUGAUGUACAAUAAUACCAUGCAUUUACUCUCCAAAGCUAGUCACCAGCAAGCUAACGCCUCUAACACUACAACCACCAAUUACAGCUGUUUUGCUACAGUAACUGAGUUCUAACUACAGCUAUAGGGUAGAAAGGGUGGGCUGUUCCAUUUUGAACUUUAUCCCUUUGAAAGUGGCCAUAAAAGCAUUUUCUGUACAAGUUUAAUGGCACAAAA